rnacentral:rRNA from 1 species
GGAAUAUUGGACAAUGGGCGCAAGCCUGAUCCAGCAAUGCCGCGUGUGUGAAGAAGGCCUUCGGGUUGUAAAGCACUUUCAUUGAGGAGGAAAAGCUGUGCGUUAAUAGCGUACAGCCGUGACGUUACUCAAAGCAGAAACACCGGCUAAACCCGUGCCAGCAGCCGCGGUAAUAAGGAGGGUGCCAGCGUUAAUCGGAAUUACUGGGCGUAAAGCGCGCGUAGGCGGUUUAUUAAGUCAGAUGUGAAAUCCCCGGGCUCAACCUGGGAAUGGCAUUUGAGACUGGUAGGCUAGAGUGUGGUAGAGGUGAGUGGAAUUUCAGGUGUAGCGGUGAAAUGCGUAGAGAUCUGAAGGAACAUCAGUGGCGAAGGCGACUCACUGGGCCAUUACUGACGCUGAGGUGCGAAAGCGUGGGUAGCAAAC